GGGGACGAUCCGGAUUCGACAGGGGUAGGUCGAGCUUAAGCGGCGAGCCGAGGGAGACGUCCUCGUAAAAACGUCACCUAAAGAUAACUGGCAAAGAAAACUACGCUUUAGCUGCCUAAUUGCUGCAGCUAGCUCCUCCCGCCAUCGCCCGUGUGGCGUCCGAGGGGUUCAUAUGAAGCGGGCUACGCCCAAAUCCGCCGCCUGAGGACGAGGGAAGAGAUGAACCAGGCUAGCCGUCGGGAGGCCUGUCGGUAGGCGGAACGAACGGCGAAGCAAAAUAUACCGACUACGCUCGUAGAUGCUUAAGUGGCGAUGCCUCUGGACGUGGGUUCAACUCCCACCGUCUCCAUUC
rfam:Geobacillus thermodenitrificans NG80-2, complete genome.